AACGUAGGACGCAAGCGUUAUCCGGAGUGACUGGGCGUAAAGGGCGUGUAGGCGGCUUGGCAAGUGGCUCGUGAAAGGCUCCGGCUCAACCGGGGAGGGUCGGGUCAGACUGCGAGGCUGGAGGAUGCGAGAGGGACACGGAAUUCCGGGUGUAGUGGUGAAAUGCGUAGAGAUCCGGAGGAACACCAGUGGCGCAGGCGGUGUCCUGGGGCGUACCUGACGCUGAGACGCGACAGCAUGGGGAGCGAACGGG
rnacentral:rRNA from 1 species